GAGUUUGAUCAUGGCUCAGAACGAACGCCGGCGGCAGGCCUAACACAUGCAAGUCGAACGCCGUAGCAAUACGGAGUGGCAGACGGGUGCGUAACGCGUGGGAACAUGCCCUUUGGUUCGGAAUAACUCAGGGAAACUUGAGCUAAUACCGGAUAAGCCCGAGAGGGGAAAGAUUUAUCGCCGAAGGAUUGGCCCGCGUCUGAUUAGCUAGUUGGUGAGGUAAUGGCUCACCAAGGCGACGAUCAGUAGCUGGUCUGAGAGGAUGAUCAGCCACACUGGGACUGAGACACGGCCCAGACUCCUACGGGAGGCAGCAGUGGGGAAUAUUGGACAAUGGGCGCAAGCCUGAUCCAGCCAUGCCGCGUGAGUGAUGAAGGCCUUAGGGUUGUAAAGCUCUUUUACCCGGGAAGAUAAUGACUGUACCGGGAGAAUAAGCCCCGGCUAACUUCGUGCCAGCAGCCGCGGUAAUACGAAGGGGGCUAGCGUUGUUCGGAAUCACUGGGCGUAAAGCGCUCGUAGGCGGAUCUUUAAGUCAGAGGUGAAAUCCCAAGGCUCAACCUUGGAACUGCCUUUGAUACUGGGGAUCUCGAGUCCGGGAGAGGUGAGUGGAACUGCGAGUGUAGAGGUGAAAUUCGUAGAUAUUCGCAAGAACACCAGUGGCGAAGGCGGCUCACUGGCCCGGUACUGACGCUGAGGAGCGAAAGCGUGGGGAGCAAACAGGAUUAGAUACCCUGGUAGUCCACGCCGUAAACGAUGGAUGCUAGCCGUUGGACAGCUUGCUGUUCAGUGGCGCAGUUAACGCUUUAAGCAUCCCGCCUGGGGAGUANCGGUCGCAAGAUUA
rnacentral:rRNA from 1 species